UUUUUUGCAAACCAAAGCCUGUUGAAACGCAUGUCUGAGCCCCACGGGGUGAAAAAAGUUAAUACAACUUUCAACAACGGAUCUCUUKGCUUUCGCAUCGAUGAAGGACGCCGCGAAAGUGCGAAACGUAAUGUGAAUUGCAGAAUUCAGUGAAUCAUCGAAUCUUUGAACGCAUCUUGCGCUCCUUGGUAUUCCGAGGAGCAUGCCUGUUUGAGUGUCGUGAACAUCCCUCGACCCGACUCCUUGGUGAGUUUGGGUUGGAUUUGGACGCUUGCGGCGGGCCCCUCUCCCGUCGCUCGUCUUUAAAUGCAUCAGCUGGCCCCCCUCGGGUCGGACCGAUGACGGUGUGAUAAAUUGCCGCCGUUUUGGCCCGACCUUUCUUACGUGCGUGGGGUCGCUCCUAACCGUCCCCUCGGGACAAAUAGGCUUUUCAUGUCAAUCUGACCUCAAAUCAGGUAGGACUACCCGCUGAACUUAAGCAUAUCAAUAAGCGGAGGAAAAGAAACUAACAAGGAUUCCCCUAGUAACGGCGAGUGAAGCGGGAAGAGCUCAAAUUUGUAAUCUGGCGCGCCUUGGCCGUCCGAGUGUAGUC
rnacentral:rRNA from 1 species